rnacentral:lncRNA from 1 species
CUCUUAAGCUCCUUUUCGAGUUCAUACCACAACUCACCUUCAGUAACAUCCUCAAUGACAGAUGAACUAAUUACUCUAUCACCAGAAAUAAGUGGCUCAUCUUCCUCGGUAUCAUCAUGCCCUGAUCCACUGCUUGAAUUACUUUCUAGUUUGUGCUGGACUGAGUCUUCAAUUUGAACUUCAGCCACAAGAGUUUCAGAACUUUCAGACACUACAGAAGCUUCAGGCAAUUCCUCCAAUUUAGAGUUCGCAGGUGGAACCACAGAUCGACGCCUCGGACCCAUACAUGACCAUGAUGACAGAGAUGAACGAGUUCUGACAACAGCUUGGGCGACAUUUUGUGCUCGCUUCAUCACAACCUACAAAUUAAAAGGUAGACAUCUUUUUGUUAUUUACAUAAUGACUGGCUAAUUGAAAAACAGAUAAAUAAUGCAGGAAAGGUUGUUGCUUGUACAUGCACAUGAAAGAAAGAAGAGCAAGACAGCAAAGUUUCAAUUGACUUAAUAGCUCCAAAGAAUUGAC